rnacentral:lncRNA from 1 species
CAGAGAUAUUGAGUAGGGGGAAGAAUAGAGGAGAGAGAGAAGGAUGAGAGAUACCAUAUCAGAGGGAGCCACUAUAGGUCUGAGAAGAGAUCUGGAACUAGGGAAAUCUCCAGAGACCUACAAGGAUGACACGAUCUGACAGUCCGGGCAGUGGAAGAGAGGAUAGCCUAGAAGCCCUUCCCCUAGAAAAAGAUUGAUGACUACUCGCUAUGCUAUCCUAGAGCCCUCAUCUAGUGGCUGAUGGAAGCAGAGACAGACAUCCACAGAAAUACACUGAGCUGAAAUCUGGAACCUAGUGGAAGAGAGGGAGGAAUGAAGAUCGAAGGGGUUUCAGUCCUUGGAUACUGUGGCUUUGGAGAGAAAGAAGUGACCUUUGAAGCCUUUGCCUGUGGGGCUCACUGCAGAAUUGUGUCCGACUUUCUUCAGGACCUUCUCAUAAUGAGUUUCCAUGCAUAAGAAGAUGGUAUAUGCUGUUAAACAAGCCAAGCAGACUUCAAGAUAUGACUGGCCCCCAAGCUUCUCUGCUUCUGCGUAAAGAUUAUGUAGAGUUCGAACUGUUUCUUCAAACUGCUGUCUAUCAAUCCUGUCCUCCAGCUCGCGGGGAACUUGGUCUGGAACUGGCAGCGUGUGCUGCUGCUGUAGUCUCGCUGAAUGAACACCUUCCCGGACACCGGUGCCUGCUGUGGCCUCAUGGCAAGGACAGGACCCACCGCACCGCCUCCUUGGCCCUCCAGCAGCUGUCGCCUAUCUUCUAACUCUUAGUUCCAUCAUUGUGAAAUAGAAAGUUUGUUUGGAUCCUAAUGUUGUAUGUUUCUUUCUUUAAGUAUACAUGAUACUGUGAGGAUCCUCAAGAUUAUCUUUCUAUGAAUCUGUUUCAUCCAGUACGUCAGAUGUGUAGUAACAUGCAUUAAAUUCUGAACAUUACAUUUUAAUUAAUUAAUUAAUUUUAUGGAUAUGGCUGUUUUGUUUGUAUAUGUGUAUAUGCACCAAAUUCAUGGCUAGUGUUUGUAGAGUCCAGAAGAAGGCAUUGAAUCACCUGGAACUUGCAAGGUGCUGGGAAUCCAAUCUGGGUCCCCAGCAGAGAAUCUAG